CAUCUCUGUUCAGGAUCCUGAGUACGGCGGAGCACGUGAAAUUCCGUCGGAAUCCGGGAGGACCAUCUCCCAAGGCUAAAUACUCUCUAGUGACCGAUAGUGAACCAGUACCGUGAGGGAAAGGUGAAAAGAACCCCGGAAGGGGAGUGAAACAGCACCUGAAACCGUGUGCUUACAAAUAGUUAGAGCCCGUUAAUGGGUGAUAGCGUGCCUUUUGUAGAAUGAACCGGCGAGUUACGAUCCCAUGCGAGGUUAAGUCGAGAAGACGGAGCCGCAGCGAAAGCGAGUCUGAAUAGGGCGAAUGAGUAUGUGGUCGUAGACCCGAAACCAGGUGACCUACCCAUGUCCAGGUUGAAGGUGCGGUAAAACGCACUGGAGGACCGAACCCACGUACGUUGAAAAGUGCGGGGAUGAGGUGUGGGUAGCGGAGAAAUUCCAAUCGAACUUGGAGAUAGCUGGUUCUCUCCGAAAUAGCUUUAGGGCUAGCCUCGGACCAUAGAAUCAUGGAGGUAGAGCAACUGUUUGAACUAGGGCCCCUUAUCGGGGUACCGAAUUCUGAUAAACUCCGAAUGCCAUUGAUUUAUAUCCGGGAGUCAGACUGCGAGUGAUAAGAUCCGUAGUCGAAAGGGAAACAGCCCAGACCACCAGUUAAGGUCCCAAAGUUUAUGUUAAGUGGAAAAGGAUGUGGGGUUGCUCAGACAACUAGGAUGUUGGCUUAGAAGCAGCCAUCAUUUAAAGAGUGCGUAAUAGCUCACUAGUCGAGUGACCCUGCGCCGAAAAUUUACCGGGGCUAAACAUAACACCGAAACUGUGGAUGGAACCCAUUGGGUUCCGUGGUAGGAGAGCGUUCUAAGGGCGUCGAAGCUGGACCGUGAGGACUGGUGGAGCGCUUAGAAGUGAGAAUGCCGGUAUGAGUAGCGAAAGACAGGUGAGAAUCCUGUCCACCGUAUGACUAAGGUUUCCUGGGGAAGGCUCGUCCUCCCAGGGUUAGUCGGGACCUAAGCUGAGGCCGAAUGGCGUAGGCGAUGGCCAACAGGUUGAUAUUCCUGUACCUGUUUGUUUUGUUUGAGCAAUGGAGGGACACAGGAGGCUAAGGAAAGCGUGCUGCUGGAUAGGCACGUCCAAGCAACGAGUCUUGAAGUGAGUCAAAUGCUUGCUUCUAUACGGAUGAGUUGUGAUGGGGAGGGAAAUCAAGUACCGAAGUUCCUGAUGUCACACUGUCAAGAAAAGCUUCUAGUGAGAAACAAACAGCCCGUACCGCAAACCGACACAGGUAGUCGAGGAGAGUAUCCUAAGGUGAGCGAGAGAACUCUCGUUAAGGAACUCGGCAAAAUGACCCCGUAACUUCGGGAGAAGGGGUGCUGACC
rnacentral:rRNA from 1 species